rnacentral:rRNA from 1 species
AUUGAACGCUGGCGGCAGGCCUAACACAUGCAAGUCGAACGAGUGGCGGACGGGUGAGUAAUGUCUGGGAAACUGCCUGAUGGAGGGGGAUAACUACUGGAAACGGUCUCUAAUACCGCCUACCAUCUGAUGUGCCCAGAUGGUAUUAGCUAGUAGGUGGGGUAAAGGCUCACCUAGGCGACGAUCCCUAGCUUGUCUGAGAGGAUGACCAGUCACACUGGAACUGAGACACGGUCCAGACUCCUACGGGAGGCAGCAGUGGGGAAUAUUGCACAAUGGGCGCAAGCCUGAUUCAGCCAUGCCGCGUGUAUGAAGAAGGACUUCGGGUUGUAAAGUACUUUCAGCGGGGAGGCGUUACCCGAAGAAGAAGCACCGGCUAACUCCGUGCCAGCAGCCGCGGUAAUAC